UACGUAGGGUGCAAGCGUUAUCCGGAAUUAUUGGGCGUAAAGAGCUCGUAGGCGGUUUGUCGCGUCUGCUGUGAAAACUGGGGGCUCAACCCCCAGCCUGCAGUGGGUACGGGCAGACUAGAGUGCGGUAGGGGAGAUUGGAAUUCCUGGUGUAGCGGUGGAAUGCGCAGAUAUUGGAAAGACCACCGAUGGCGAAGGCACUCUACUGGGCCAUUACUGACACUGAGAGACGAAAGCUAGGGGAGCAAAUGGG
rnacentral:rRNA from 1 species